rnacentral:rRNA from 1 species
UACGUAGGCAGCAAGCGUUGUUCGGAAUUACUGGGCGUAAAGAGUGUGUAGGCGGUGCUCUAAGUCUGUUGUGAAAUCUCCCGGCUUAACUGGGAGGGUGCGGCGGAGACUGGAGUGCUAGAGUGUGGGAGAGGUAAGCGGAAUUCCUGGUGUAGCGGUGAAAUGCGUAGAUAUCAGGAGGAACACCUGCGGUGUAGACGGCUUUCUGGACCAUUGCUGACGCUGAGACACGAAAGCGUGGGUAGCAAACAGG